AUGUUCUGGUGUUGCAUUUUGUCGUAUGUAACAUGGGAGCCCACCUCUUCCAAUGAACUCCGAUUGCUGACUAGGUCUUUAUCGAGGCAGAUCAGGUGUUUAUUUUGGUUCUUUUUUUGCUACAUGUUGGGUCUUAUGGACUACCAUAAACAAGUUUACUGUUUGUUCAAACUAAUAUUCUUUCUACAACAAUGGAAAUCAAUCGAAUCAUUGACCAAGGAGAGUGACCUAGAGGAUACGGAGCUGCUGAUCUCGCACGUUCGUGCCAUGGCGUUCUCUCUUUCUCAGCAGGAUCUAGUUUCUCCGGCCUAG
rnacentral:rRNA from 1 species